AAGAAUAACUUAUGAAUUGUGAGGCUGCAAACUCAGCAUGGCGUUGUAAAGAAGUUUCAACCGUUGAAUUAAUAUUUAAAUGUGGUGGGUUGAGUCUGAGCCGUCCAGUAAAAAAAAUGUUAGAAACAAUCCAGGAUUCCCAGAUAACUUCGGUACAAGAAGUGAGGUAUGCAUUGUUUCACCUGCAGUCCUGCAUAUUCAAUCUCUCUGUGCUGAUAAAAGUGAAAGAAAGAAGUGAUACAAGAAGAUUUUGUUCUGUGUGUUUUUUACGGGACAAGGUUACCCCAUAACUUAGCUUGAAAACAACAAUAAGCCUUUCAAGUACAGUGUUGUGAGUGUUUAAGUUACAGUUGUGUGAGUUGUGACUGUUUAAGAUGUCUUGUUGGCUUAUGAAAAAUCAAGUGAUGAAGAAGAACAAGUACCUCAUAAAGUGAACCCAGAUCGAGUGUCAGCCAUUACAUGAACUGCCAGAUCCAUCCGUUUAGUACCAUAACGAGAUCUCCAGUCUACAUGGGAAUCAAUGGGAUGGCAGUUCCACUGGUUCCACAGCAGGCAACAAAAUAUCACUGGUGUAGAAAAGUGUUAGCCAAUAAGAAGGAACGUCGACUCAGUUUUCACCUACGUGUUCCAUAAUCGACGGAGAAUAAUCUUUUUUGAUUGAUAUGUUCAAAAUCAUUAUCACUCACCUCUGCAGCCAAAGUUUUACAACACGAGCCACAAUAUUAUUGAACUAAAAAUCUUCGGGUUGACGGGUUACGACCGACACGGGCGCAAAUACUGGUUUAUUGCAAGACGCAUCUUUGUCGAAGGAACUGGUAACCAGGAAGAAAUUGACGUUGACAAAGACACUAGCUACAGUUGAAGAAAAAACGAGUAUUAAGGCAACAACAAAUCCUAUCUGGAACUUGACGAAGUAGUUGCUAGUAGAGAGGCCGUUCAGAUGGUCGUCAAAUUGAGAAAGAAGGAGAAAACAAACCUAAUGAAAGCCUAUCGGUCGAUGCAAUCAAAUGACCAAAUAGAAACUGAUAAAGUUGUGAAAAAGUGUGCCAUCUGUGUAGAAUCGAGCCAUGAGAACCACCAGCUAAUACCAGUACACCAAUGACCAGCGGAACUUAUUCCACACGAUCCUCGACAGGCAUUAUUGUGGCGCGACACGGCGACAGGCACUUAUGUUGCCUAACUAAUGGUUCUGGAGGAGUCACUAUCAAGGAGAAAAGCAGUGCUACUCCCAUCAAGCCGCAAUUUCAUUUACCAGACGGAGUAAUUUUCAAGUCGGGCAAGACAUACAGAAGACGUAUGUCACCCAGUACACGAGCAAUCUACUUGCGCUUAGUAAGAAGAAGAAUCGGUCGUCAGAGGAAAGAAACCGCAAAUAUUGCUGAUUGCACAAGUUAUCAUCACUAGUUACCGGAGAGUUUUAAAAAGUGGUCGGCUAGUGCAUUCGGCAACAUGUUGCUGACUGUUCGACUAUGUUGUUGCAAUUUCACCCUCAUCUGCCUGCUAUUUCCACGAUGGGCUGUAUGUAUCCAAAAGUCGAGUCAAAAUAACUCGUCUACUGACCAGUGCUGACUGCUGACCCUCUGGAUCCUGGUUGCCUGAAUCCGCCCAAUUAUUUUCUCUUCCGUCUCUGGCAUGAGUCACUUGGUCACAUUCUUCUCACAACUUCAACAACAGACAACACUUGAACGUUAAGAGCGUAAGGUGAUGAACGAGGAAGAGAAAAAGGAUAAAGAACUAGAAGAGGAGAUGCAAUGUCUACAUACCGUUCAUUAUGCCAAAGUCAUAAAACAGGAACAGUUGAUGAUUUGUAAAGUGCAAGGGUUCCGUCUUUAUGGCCACGUGAGUUGUCGCUAGCUGUCUGCAACUCACCUUAUGCGACGCCUUGAUAUCAGACAAUGCGGAUUAAGAGCUGGAUCUUGGCGAAUCAUCAAUUCAUCACUCAUACCUGAGAAGGUCUGGAAUCUCGGUAUGUUCAAGCUAAUCCUGCAACUGUAAUCGAAACUUAUAGAAACUUCCCACCUGAUCCAGCCAUGGAACGGCUGGUGGAACGGCUGACAGGCAACACGUUCAACGCGGAUCAUCUGUGAUUGUUCAUUGUUGUGGGUAUGAUUUUUUAUAAGUUAACCCGUUGGCUGCCACGCAUUUGUUCUCUCCUAGCUCCUUAGCACGGGCCGCGCUGUUCGGUCUCGUGGU
rnacentral:lncRNA from 1 species